ensembl:snoRNA SNORA73 Small nucleolar RNA SNORA73 family
UCAAAAAUUGUACCUGGGAGUUCACUCUCCCUGGGCUCUGUCCUGGUGGCCUAGGGGAGCACAGGCUCUGCCCCGUGAUGUAUUGUCCCUUUCCACAACGUUGGAGAAGAAACUGGGCCUCGUUCCUGUUUGUGCAUAUUCCUACAACUUCUCAGAGUCCUUUGGGCAAUGACUGAGGAGAUAAACCAUGAAGGAAACAAUG